rnacentral:lncRNA from 1 species
CUCAGACGCCGGGAAAAACAGAGCCGAAAGCAAAAGCCAGGCAGGAAACGCAAGCAGGGCGCGCGAAGGGCUAUCAAUAGAUCUGCAUCAAAGCAGCAUGGGCCACUUGGCUACAGACAGUCCCAUCAUUCAGCAAGCAAGCAGAGAAAUCCUGCUUUGGGCUUUAAGGCUGUCUGAUAACAGCGUUUCUCCUCUCACCUCUCUGGCAUCAUCUGGAGCCUCUGCAGAAG